rnacentral:rRNA from 1 species
GACGAACGCUGGCGGCGUGCCUAAUACAUGCAAGUAGAACGCUGAAGAGAGGAGCUUGCUCUUCUUGGAUGAGUUGCGAACGAGUGAGUAACGCGCAGGUAACCUGCCUUGUAGCGGGGGAUAACUAUUGGAAACGAUAGCUAAUACCGCAUAACAAUGGAUGACACAUGUCAUUUAUUUGAAAGGGGCAAUUGCUCCACUACAAGAUGGACCUGCGUUGUAUUAGCUAGUAGGUGAGGUAAUGGCUCACCUAGGCGACGAUACAUAGCCGACCUGAGAGGGUGAUCGGCCACACUGGGACUGAGACACGGCCCAGACUCCUACGGGAGGCAGCAGUAGGGAAUCUUCGGCAAUGGGGGCAACCCUGACCGAGCAACGCCGCGUGAGUGAAGAAGGUUUUCGGAUCGUAAAGCUCUGUUGUAAGUCAAGAACGGGUGUGAGAGUGGAAAGUUCACACUGUGACGGUAGCUUACCAGAAAGGGACGGCUAACUACGUGCCAGCAGCCGCGGUAAUACGUAGGUCCCGAGCGUUGUCCGGAUUUAUUGGGCGUAAAGCGAGCGCAGGCGGUUUGAUAAGUCUGAAGUUAAAGGCUGUGGCUCAACCAUAGUUCGCUUUGGAAACUGUCAAACUUGAGUGCAGAAGGGGAGAGUGGAAUUCCAUGUGUAGCGGUGAAAUGCGUAGAUAUAUGGAGGAACACCGGUGGCGAAAGCGGCUCUCUGGUCUGUAACUGACGCUGAGGCUCGAAAGCGUGGGGAGCGAACAGG